rnacentral:rRNA from 1 species
GGCUCCGGCCGGGGAUGUUCAUAACCCUUUGUUGUCCGACUCUGUUGCCUCCGGGGCGACCCUGCCUUUUCACGGGCGGGGGCCCCGGGUGGACACAUCAAAACUCUUGCGUAACUUUGCAGUCUGAGUAAAUUUAAUUAAUAAAUUAAAACUUUCAACAACGGAUCUCUUGGUUCUGGCAUCGAUGAAGAACGCAUCGAAAUGCGAUAAGUAAUGUGAAUUGCAGAAUUCAGUGAAUCAUCGAAUCUUUGAACGCACAUUGCGCCCCCUGGUAUUCCGGGGGGCAUGCCUGUUCGAGCGUCAUUUCACCACUCAAGCCUCGCUUGGUAUUGGGCGACGCGGUCCGCCGCGCGCCUCAAAUCGACCGGCUGGGUCUUCUGUCCCCUCAGCGUUGUGGAAACUAUUCGCUAAAGGGUGCCACGGGAGGCCACGCCGAAAAACAAACCCAUUUCUAAGGUUGACCUCGGAUCAGGUAGGGAUACCCGCUGAACUUAAGCAUAUCAAUAAGCGGAGACCUCGGAUCAGGUAGGAAUACCCGCUGAACUUAAGCAUAUCAAUAAGCGGAGGAA